rnacentral:rRNA from 1 species
AACGUACGCUGGCGGCACGCCUAACACAUGCAAGUCGAACGAAGUAGCAAUACUUAGUGGCAGACGGGUGAGUAACAUGUAGGUAUCUGCCCUUUGGCCUGGAAUAACACGAGGAAAACUUGUGCUAAUACCGGAUAAGUCUUUACGGAGAAAGCUUUAUGCACCAUUGGAUGAGCCUGCACUUGAUUAGUUUGUUGGUGGGGUAAUGGCCUACCAAGACUGUGAUCAAUAGCUGAUUUGAGAGGAUGAUCAGCCACAUUGGGACUGAGACACGGCCCAAACUCCUACGGGAGGCAGCAGUGGGGAAUCUUGCACAAUGGAGGAAACUCUGAUGCAGCGAUGCCGCGUGAGUGAAGAAGGCCCUUGGGUUGUAAAGCUCUUUCGUCGGGGAAGAAAAUGACUGUACCCGAAUAAGAAGGUCCGGCUAACUUCGUGCCAGCAGCCGCGGUAAUACGAAGGGACCUAGCGUAGUUCGGAAUUACUGGGCUUAAAGAGUUCGUAGGUGGUUGAAAUAGUUGGUGGUGAAAUCCCAGAGCUUAACUCUGGAACUGCCAUCAAAACUUUUCAGCUAGAGUAUGAUAGAGGAAAGCAGAAUUUCUAGUGUAGAGAUGAAAUUCGUAGAUAUUAGAAAGAAUACCAAUUGCGAAGGCAGCUUUCUGGAUCAUUACUGACACUGAGGAACGAAAGCAUGGGUAGCGAAGAGGAUUAGAUACCCUCGUAGUCCAUGCCGUAAACGAUGUGUGUUAGACGUUGGAAAUUUAUUUUCAGUGUCGCAGGGAAACCGAUAAACACACCGCCUGGGGAGUACGACCGCAAGGUUAAAACUCAAAUGAAUUGACGGGGACCCGCACAAGUAGUGGAGCAUGUGGUUUAAUUCGAAGAUACGCGCAGAACCUUACCAACACUUGACAUGUUCGUCGCGACUCUAAGAGAUUAGAGUUUUCGGUUCGGCCGGACGAAACACAGGUGCUGCAUGGCUGUCGUCAGCUCGUGUCGUGAGAUGUUGGGUUAAGUCCCGCAACGAGCGCAACCCUCACUUUUAGUUGCCAUCAUUAAGUUGGGCACUCUGAAAGAACUGCCAGUGAUAAGCUGGAGGAAGGUGGGGAUGACGUCAAGUCCUCAUGGCCCUUACGUGUUGGGCUACACACGUGCUACAAUGGUAUCUACAACAGGAAGCAAGACUGCGAAGUUAAGCAAAUCCCUAAAAGAUACCUCAGUUCGGAUUGCACUCUGCAACUCGAGUGCAUGAAGCUGGAAUUACUAGUAAUCGUGGAUCAGCGUGCCACGGUGAAUGCGUUCCCGGGUCU